UUCUACUAAUAAAUCUCAUGAGCUUACACCUAGCUAGUACUCCACAUUUCCUCUUUAACCCUUUAUAUAUAUUUCUCUCAUAUCAUCUACAUUAAAAAAAAAUUAAUAUGCAAAUGUCUUGUGUCAUAGGGUUAAGGUUUAUAGUAUUAAAUGGAUCGACGUAUAUCUGAUUGAGGCAUAAUAAUUAUUGUUUUCUGAUUAGAUAUAUAUAUGAAGAGAGCUUUCUUUAGUCCACACAUGGGGAACGAUAGGGUUCAAUUUGCUGCCGACUCAUUCAUCCAAAUGUUGAGGUCUUGAUAAUCGAGUGCCACCUCAGCAACUGAGUGAAUGAAGCGGGAGUACAAGUUGAGUCUUGAGCUUCCUGUACUUGGACUGAAGGGAGCUCCCUCUUACCUUUUUUUUAAUAUCGAUUAUUUUGUUGAGUAUCUAAUAUUUAUUCGACAAAUUAAACAUAUAUAUAGUAGUGGUCAUGCAUGGUUUAACUUGCUAGGGUUAAAUAUACACUUGAAAUUUCUUGGUUAAUUAAUUAAGGUUUACACACUAAUUAAUAUUUUUUAUCUUUUUCUCUUCUUCUUUUUUUGCAGCUUAUGUUUGCCUGAUCCUAAUUUAACCUUGAGCUGUUUUUAUGUGAAGCUUUAGCUAUUGAUGCCGGGCCGGAGCUACCAUAUUAGUGAUCAAGACGGAGUAUGAAUUCAGUUUCAAUUUCAAUAACUCCUAAAUUUCAAAUUUCAAUUCUGACUUUGAAGAUAUCAAGGAUGUUUAGGGUUUUUGUGAAGCUCUCCAAUGGAUUUUUUUUUUUAAUUAUAUUGUUAGAGAUAUAUACUACCUCACGAUAAGAUGACAAAGUUCAAAUACAAUUUUAUUUUAUUUUUGAUUCUUAGUUUAAUAAAGUGUUUCUAUAUUCUUAAUUAAAGAUCUCGAGUUUAAAUUUUAUGAGUAUGAAAGUACUUUUAUUAGAACGGUUUAUCCUAUUAUGUAAUAUAUGGUACGGAUGGAAAACCAAAAAAAAAAAGUUGUACUAAUUUUCUUCUUAUUGUCCGA